rnacentral:rRNA from 1 species
GAAUGCAGAAUCCCGUGAACCAUCGAGUCUUUGAACGCAAGUUGCGCCCGAAGUCGUCAGGCUGAGGGCACGUCUGCCUGGGUGUCACG